rnacentral:lncRNA from 1 species
UCCAGGGCGGAUCUUUCCACACCCCCCUCACCCUCAAAAGCUCAGGCUGGAGCGGUCAUCAGUGCGGACUCCGGCACCCCACCCACCCAGCAGGGGUUAAGGAGGGACUGGCGCCCACUCUUGCCUACAGCUCCUGCGCAGGGCUCCAGCCGCCAAAUCUUCCCGGGAUGGUCGGGAGGUGGCAUAAGAGGUUUUGCCAGGAACCACUGCACAGGCGAAAGAGAGACAGUGGAGUGGGCGGAGGAGGAGCUGGGACGGCACCCGGGCUCGUUAGCACAGGCUGCACGAGCUACAGCUGAGGGAUGCGAGCGCUCUGUCAAUUGGGCAGGCGCUGCGCGCGGAGGCCCGGUCGGUGCCAUUGGUUGGCGGCCCAAUUGGCUUGACCAGGGCGGUAUUUGGGGAAGGGCAACAGAGUACAUCCAUUCCUUUCUGCAAUAGAAGUCUCUGCAGCUUCCCAAGAGUUUUUCUUUCUUUCUUUCUUUUUCUUUUGGCACCUGUGAAGUCAUGAUCUAAUUAGUCGGCAUUUAGACACAGGUGAAAAGAAAUUGACCCCAGGGAACCAGGAAAAAUCAGUCAAAAAAGAGCAGCUGCUUCAUGAAGACUGCAUUGCAACAUUCUAGGAUCACAAGUCUGAACAGGGGACCAAGGGCACGUUAGAAUACAGCCAUAUUAUUUGACAAAAUGUUAAAUUUUAUCCAGGCAGAUAUAGUUGAGUUUGAAUAUUCUGAAUGGGAAUCAAACCACAUAAUUUGGUUUCUAUUUCACCAUCCCAAAAUCUUGGUUUUAGCCUGUAUAAAUUGAAGGAAGAAGUUAGACUAAUUUAUGAGGACCAGAGCUGAACUUUCUUCCUCAAGUGCGUUGGCUUGGUAACAGAAGUACAUCCCCUUGGCCGGGCACGGUGGCUCAUGCCUGUAAUCCCAGCACUUUGGGAAGCCGAGGAGGGCAGAUCAUGAGGUCAGGAGAUCGAGACCAUCCUGGCUAACACAGUGAAACCCCGUCUCUACUAAAAAUACAAAAACAAAAUUAGCCAGGCGUGGUGGCGGGUGCCGGUAGUCCUAGCUACUCGGGAGGCUGAGGCGAGAGAAUGGCGUGAACCCGGGAGGCGGAGCUUGCAGUGAGCCGAGAUGGCACCACUGCACUCCAGCCUGGGCGACAGAGAGAGACUCCGUCUCCAAAAAAAAAAAAAAAAAAAAAAGUACAUCCCCUUACAUUGUCCAUUUAAAAGUAAAAGGGAGAUUUAUUUUAGUUCUUCCGUUAUUUGCUGAUAUUCAUGGUCAUUUCUUUAAUGUUCCCAAUUCCAAGUUGGAAUAAUCACCAUUUUGUAAAACAAAUUAUUGUGUUUGGUUGCUUUUGGCUGCUGAAGACAUUCAAAAGUCACUCCUGAGAUGAAUAUGAAGGCUCAGCUUGGAGAUCAGCGUAAUGCAGAGCUUGGCUGUAGAUGCAGAUGCUGGUUGGAAUCUUGGCUUUGCCACCUCCUAGUGCACAUCCUUGGGCAAAUUAUUUCUCUCAUUUAUUCUUACAUUUGUAAGGUCGGUGUUAUAGCUGCACCUUUCCACGUGAGGAAACUGAGGCUCAGAAAUACUAAUGUGCAGCAGGUGCUUCGCAUAGUAGUAGGUGUUCAUCAGCUGUUACUACCAACUACCUGCAACAAUUGCUAGCACUUCACAUUAAUUUACAGACACUAUUGCUCAAUUCCAAUUUUCUGGCUAACAACUACUCAUGCAUUUAUCUGUGAUUACUUGUGUAUUUUCCUUCUCCCACUUUGACUGUGAGCUCCAUUAUAGUAGAAGAGAGGGCCCUUGAGAUGGAUUGAAGGGAGCAGGCUGAGCAGUGGCCCUGAGAGGAGCUCAUCAUGAUCUCGAGCUUGAUGACUCACCCUCGCGUUAGGAAAGACAUUUCAUUAAUCAAGCUUGAACACUUUGCACAGAAAAAGAUAAGAAACAUGCUAUUGAUGUCUAAUUGAUUUUAUGUCACUUAUGUGACAAUAUGUUUGACUUUGAUGUAAUCAGUUAUGAUUUAGUAAAAUAACAGCAAUUUUUUCUUCCAUGGCACGAAUAGUUUUCUUCCUGAAAUUUCCUGCAUUGUGAAUUUGGGGUUUCACUAUGUUUUC